UCUGGCAGGCCCUGGGGCUGGCCUCCCCACCCCAGCACGCUGGAGAAGCAUGUGUCCCUCCUGCCCGGCCGGGGCGGGGUGGGGGCGGGGUGAGCGGCGCCCAGCUGUGCGGCGCUGAGCCCGGGACUCUGGGAGCUGGCAGGACAGACAUCCCCUGACCUUGGACCUCGGAAGAUCCAGCCUGGGCGGGCCUUUCUGUCGGAGCACACGGACCUGCACACGCACGGGGGCCUGGCCCCUGGCUUCUGCCGGGCUUUGUCUGGGCAUGGACCGCCGGCCUCUGCUCUGGGAGGUGGGGGCAGGUCGAGAGGCGGGGCUCCCGUUCAGUGCCUUUGGCACAACUCCCAACGGCAGGGAGGAAGUGAGGCUCAGAGGCCUUGCUCUGGAAGGAAAGCCCCCCACCCCACACACAGCUGUAGCCCAGCCCCCCGGGCCCCACUUGGCAACGUCUCUCCAGAGGAGGGGGGGUGGCCUCUGAGCCCUGGUUCUGGAGAUGCAGGCGGACCCCGCUCCUGGACUCAUCCAGGAGGACCUCAUCUGCACGGAUGAGAUCUGCAACACACUUUUCCAGAAUCCUGUUUGCAGCACCUCCAAGAUGCGCGCAAGUUCCAGGCUCUUCUCAGGAGACCCACUGCUGCCCCGUGUCUGGGCGGUGCCCAUCCCGUGUGUGGGGGACCGAUGACCAGCCAUGGUGCCCACGAUGGGCCUCACUCCCGCGUCACCUUAUAAACACUGGCUGGGUCCGUUUCUCCUUCUGGCUCUGCGUCCUGUUCUGUCUGAUGAAGCCAGUGGCCACCCCCUUGAGAGCCACCCUGGGAGAGGCCUACAGACAUGGGACCGAGGACAGCGUCCUGCUGCCGGCCAGCAAGGAGCUGAACCCUGCCAAAGGGCCUAUGGGUCAGGUCAGCAGGGCCUGCUUCCCCGGUGGAGCCUCCAGGUGGACCUCGGUCCCCCAACACCGCCUGCCAGGAUGCGGACAAGGACUCGAAAUCCCCAGCCCACCGGAGGAAACAAUCCGCGGGCCUGCCCCGUGUGUCUAUUCCCGCGAGGCUCUGCUGAGAGCCAGGAAGCAAGGAGAGGGCAGGACACGGCCGGCCUGACCGCUGGGGGCACCGCCUCCCUCCGGCUCCUCCGGCUUCCCCGCUCGCCCCGUUGUGCAGGGGGAGCACCCUGCAGCCUCGAGCGACUCCCAACCUGUCUUCCCCGUUUUCUCUUUGUAAACUCACGAGAAGCAUUUUUUACCUCCGCUACUUAUUGCCUGAAUCCGUUCUUGCAAAAAAUUCAGAGAGCUGAUAAAAACCACUGGCUCUGGCUCCUGCCUCCUGAGUCCCCUCUCUGGGGCCCGUGAGUGCAGGGAAACCCAAGGGCCCGGGAGGUGGGGGCCUCGCGGCCUUUCUGGCCCCACACCUGUGGCGGGGUGUGCUGACCGAGUGUCCGAGCGCCCCCAGGACCCGCUGUGCUUGAGCGAGAAGCAGUCCUCAAGUCAUCGACGUCCGGGGAUGGAGCCUAGCUCACCCUGGCUGGUGCAGGCACGGGCACUGAUCAAGGCGUACCCUGGACAGUGGCAGGGCACGCCCGCCCACGUGGCAGACGGAGAGGAAGGUCUGCGCACACAGUGAGAGAGGGGGUGGGGCCAGAGGCAGGGAUGGAGGCCG